rnacentral:lncRNA from 1 species
ACCCGCAUCCUCGUCCCAGAUCAAUAUGAUGUCUGGACAACCUUCCUCUCAUACCAGUAAUAAUAAUACUGAUACUGAUAAUGAAGAAGAAGAUUCCGAUUUUUCCCCUAUUAAUAUUUUUGAAAUCCAGAAUAAUUUUCAGGAAAUGCAAAAUAUUAAUAAAACUACUUAUAGCUGAAAGCCUAUUAAUAGAAUGGCUUUAUCUGGACCUAGUAGGUACUACUACCCCAGACCUACUCCUCAGGAUAUUCUGUAUGAAGAAGACUUUCUUCAUUCCCAGAAGUCUUAUCAUG